ACUCCGGUUGAUCCUGCCGGACCCGACCGCUAUCGGGGUAGGGCUAAGCCAUGGGAGUCGAACGCCCCGCCGCUGCGGGGCGUGGCGGACGGCUGAGUAACACGUGGCUAACCUACCCUCGGGACGGGGAUAACCCCUCGGGAAACUGGGGCUAAUCCCCGAUAGGCGGGGGGUGCCUGGAAGGGUCCUCCGCCGAAAGGGGCCGCGGGGGGUUAUCGCCCGCGGUCCGCCCGAGGAUGGGGCUGCGGCCCAUCACGGUAGUUGGCGGGGUAAUGGCCCGCCAAGCCUACGACGGGUAGGGGCCGUGAGAGCGGGAGCCCCCAGAUGGGCACUGAGACAAGGGCCCAGGCCCUACGGGGCGCACCAGGCGCGAAAACUCCGCAAUGCGGGCAACCGUGACGGGGCUACCCCGAGUGCCCCCCUUGGGGGGGCUUUUCCCCGCUGUAAGUAGGCGGGGGAAUAAGCGGGGGGCAAGACUGGUGUCAGCCGCCGCGGUAAUACCAGCCCCGCGAGCGGUCGGGGUGCUUACUGGGCCUAAAGCGCCCGUAGCCGGCUCGACAAGUCCCCGCCUAAAGCCCCGGGCUCAACCCGGGGAGUGGCGGGGAUACUGUCGGGCUAGGGGGCGGGAGAGGCCGAGGGUACUCCCGGGGUAGGGGCGAAAUCCAUUAAUCCCGGGAGGACCACCAGUGGCGAAGGCGCUCGGCUGGAACGCGCCCGACGGUGAGGGGCGAAAGCCGGGGGAGCGAACCGGAUUAGAUACCCGGGUAGUCCUGGCUGUAAACGAUGCGGGCUAGGUGUUGGGCGGGCGUGCGAGCCCGCCCAGUGCCGCAGGGAAGCCGUUAAGCCCGCCGCCUGGGGAGUACGGCCGCAAGGCUGAAACUUAAAGGAAUUGGCGGGGGAGCACCACAAGGGGUGGAGCCUGCGGCUUAAUUGGAGUCAACGCCGGGAACCUCCACCGGGGGCGACAGCAGGAUGACGGCCAGGCUGAAGGCCUUGCCCGACGCGCUGAGGGGAGGUGCAUGGCCGUCGCCAGCUCGUGCCGUGAGGUGUCCUGUUAAGUCAGGCAACGAGCGAGACCCCCGCCCCUAGUUGCCAUCCCCGGGGCGACCCGGGGGGCACACUAGGGGGACUGCCGCCGCUAAGGCGGAGGAAGGAGGGGGCAACGGCAGGUCAGCAUGCCCCUAAACCCCCGGGCUGCACGCGGGCUACAAUGGCGGGGACAGCGGGUGCCGACCCCGAAAGGGGGAGGCAAUCCCUCAAACCCCGCCUCAGUUGGGAUCGAGGGCUGCAACUCGCCCUCGUGAACGUGGAAUCCCUAGUAACCGCGCGUCAUCAUCGCGCGGUGAAUACGUCCCUGCCCUUGCACACACUGCCCGUCGCUCCCCCCGAGGGGGGAGAAGUCGUAACAAGGUAGCCGUAGGGGAACCUGCGGCUGGAUCACCUC
rnacentral:rRNA from 1 species